GAUGAACGCUGGCGGCGUGCCUAAUACAUGCAAGUCGAGCGAAUGGAUUAAGAGCUUCCUCUUAUGAAGUUAGCGGCGGACGGGUGAGUAACACGUGGGUAACCUGCCCAUAAGACUGGGAUAACUCCGGGAAACCGGGGCUAAUACCGGAUAACAUUUUGAACCGCAUGGUUCGAAAUUGAAAGGCGGCUUCGGCUGUCACUUAUGGAUGGACCCGCGUCGCAUUAGCUAGUUGGUGAGGUAACGGCUCACCAAGGCAACGAUUCGUAGCCGACCUGAGAGGGGGAUCGGCCACACUGGGACUGCGACGCGGCCCAGACUCCUACGGGAGGCAGCAGUAGGGAAUCUUCCGCAAUGGACGAAAGUCUGACGGAGCAACGCCGCGUGAGUGAUGAAGGCUUUCGGGUCGUAAAACUCUGUUGUUAGGGAAGAACAAGUGCUAGUUGAAUAAGCUGGCACCUUGACGGUACCUAACCAGAAAGCCACGGCUAACUACGUGCCAGCCGCCGCGGUAA
rnacentral:rRNA from 1 species